CUUGGCUCAUUCUGUUGUCUGGACUCCUUUGAGUCGUUACAAGGAAGAUUAAUUCUUUGCGUGUUUGUAAAUACAAUUUGUUCACCCCAGCCUGGUGGCCCCAGUCGACCUCCUAAGGUUUCGGACUAGUAUGCCAACAUCUGCCAGAGACCAGAAAGCGCAGCGCAGGAGAGAAGAAGGGAGAAUGGGAUCCUUUUCAGCUCAGACCUUUAUCUCAGCCCUGGCAGGAGCAGUUGUCAAGAGGCUGAGGUGGAGGCCAAUCCAAGAAGAGAACAGGUCCACCCACACCCAGGGAAAGCUCCAGGCUUUCUGAUCACUCCCUAAAAGGGACAACCUGGUAGCCAAAGAAGCAGACAAGGAUGGACCCAACCUUUGACUACCAAGGGGAGGCUGUAUUCACAAUCUCGUUCAUUUCAACAAGGAAGAAUUAUAACAUUUGUUCAACGAUCUGCUUGUUAGACACUCUGUCAUCUCAAUUCUCAAACCUGACCCCUCCACUCCCACCCAUCAAACUCUGAUCUCUCCUCACUUCUUCCUGCACCCACAACGACUGUACUACAGCACUACAUAGGACAUACCUCUGACAAUUGAAUGUAAGCCGAACUUGAACUGUUUUGCUCUGUUCGUGUACUUUGCUCUGUUUGUGUACUUUUGUACAGUUUUUAACAGAUAUGGGACAUGGCUGUCGCACUGGUACCUUAAUGUUAUUCACACUGUUAUUGUUAUUGUAUUUCCUGUCUACUGUCUUGUCUGCUGUUCUACAUAUAUACUGCACCUCAGAGACUAAUGAGAAACACUUUUCAUUAUACUAUGCAGCUGUGUAAGUAUAA